CUACAUGAAGCUGGAAUCGCUAGUAAUCGCGGAUCAGAAUGCCGCGGUGAAUACGUUCCCGGGUCUUGUACACACCGCCCGUCACACCAUGGGAGUCGGAAAUGCCCGAAGCCGGUGACUCAACCUUUAAGGAGAGAGCCGUCGAAGGCAGGUCUGAUAACUGGGGUGAAGUCGUAACAAGGUAUC
rnacentral:rRNA from 1 species